UACGUAGGGAGCAAGCGUUGUCCGGAAUCAUUGGGCGUAAAGCGCGCGUAGGCGGCCCCGUAAGUCCGCUGUGAAAGUCAAAGGCUCAACCUUUGAAAGCCGGUGGAUACUGUGGGGCUAGAGUCCGGAAGAGGCGAGUGGAAUUCCUGGUGUAGCGGUGGAAUGCGCAGAUAUCAGGAGGAACACCAAUAGCGAAGGCAGCUCGCUGGGACGGUACUGACGCUAAGGCGCGAAAGCUAGGGAGCAAACAGG
rnacentral:rRNA from 1 species